rnacentral:rRNA from 1 species
AUGGAAGGAAACCUACUUCAGGGAACAAUUCCAGCAUCAAUGUCACAGAUGAAAGGCCUUCUAGUUCUUGAUGUUUCAAGAAACAACUUGUCCGGGGACAUCCCAGUCUUCCUCGCGGACAUGCAUGGGCUCGUUACCCUGAACAUGCCAUUCAACAAUUUUGAGGGUGAAGUUCCAAAACGUGGAUUAUUUCUGAAUGCAAGUGCAGCUCUCAUUGAAGGGAACUAUGGCUUAUGUGGAGGUAUACCACAAUUCAACUCGCAUACCUGCUCAAAUCAUACACCCAAGAAGUGGUCUCACAAGCUUGUCAUGUUGAUCUCAGUAGGCAGCGCAGUUUUUUGCAUCAUCUUAGUACUAUUUGCACUAUUUGCACGACGGAAAUUGAGAACCAAAUUUACAAAGACAAGACAGGUUCCAUCACUCCAUAGUGGACAGCAUAUGAGGGUUACCUAUGCUGAAUUAGUGAGAGCGACAAGUGGUUUUGCUUCUGAGAGCCUCGUAGGCAGAGGAAGCUUCGGCUCUGUGUACAAAGGAACAAUGAUGAAUGGAGAUCAGGAAGUGAUUGUCGCUGUGAAGGUGCUCAACCUCCAGCAGCGAGGGGCAUCUCAAAGCUUUGUUGCUGAAUGUGAGACUUUAAGAUGCAUCAGACAUCGAAACCUUGUGAAGAUAUUGACUGUCUGCUCAAGUAUUGAUUUCAGGGGUCUAGACUUCAAAGCUCUCAUAUUUGAGUUCAUGCCAAAUGGAAAUCUUGAUCAAAAGCUACACAGCCGUCUCCUGGAAGAUGGGAGGCAUGGGGUGCUCAGUCUCACCCAAAGGAUAGACAUUGCCAUUGAUGUAGCUUCAGCACUCGAAUACCUUCACCACAAUAAGCCAGUGCCAAUAGUUCAUUGUGAUCUUAAGCCAAGCAAUAUUCUCCUCGAUAAUGACAAGGUUGCCCAUGUGGGUGACUUUGGACUUGCAAGGUUCUUGCACCAGGAUGAUACUAGCCUCCCAGAGAUAUCAAGUGGCUGGGCUACAAGAAUGGGAACAAUUGGAUAUGCUGCCCCAGAGUACGGUCAAGGAAAUGAAGCCUCGGUCUAUGGUGAUACCUAUAGCUACGGAAUACUGUUGUUAGAGUUGCUCACUGGUAAAAGGCCAACUGAUGGUGAGUUUCUGCAAGAUCUAAACUUACAUAGCUACGUCGAGAUAGCACUUAGAGACCAAGCCACCAACCUGGUCGAUCUGUGCUUAUUAUCUUCACUGGAGGAAGGGACAAAAAUGCGAGCUGCAUGCAUCAAUUCAGUUCUGCACAUUGGGAUAUUAUGUUCGAAGGAACUGCCAACUGAUCGCAUGCAGAUUGGGGAUGCUACGAGAGAGCUACUGGCGAUCAGAGAUAAGUAUCGCAUGCACCUAUUGAGUAAAGGUGGGUCCAUCUAA